GAUGAACGCUGGCGGCGUGCCUAAUACAUGCAAGUCGAGCGAACGGACGAGAAGCUUGCUUCUCUGAUGUUAGCGGCGGACGGGUGAGUAACACGUGGAUAACCUACCUAUAAGACUGGGAUAACUUCGGGAAACCGGAGCUAAUACCGGAUCAUAUUUUGAACCGCAUGGUUCAAAAGUGAAAGACGGUCUUGCUGUCACUUAUAGAUGGAUCCGCGCUGCAUUAGCUAGUUGGUAAGGUAACGGCUUACCAAGGCAACGAUGCAUAGCCGACCUGAGAGGGUGAUCGGCCACACUGGAACUGAGACACGGUCCAGACUCCUACGGGAGGCAGCAGUAGGGAAUCUUCCGCAAUGGGCGAAAGCCUGACGGAGCAACGCCGCGUGAGUGAUGAAGGUCUUCGGAUCGUAAAACUCUGUUAUUAGGGAAGAACAUAUGUGUAAGUAACUGUGCACAUCUUGACGGUACCUAAUCAGAAAGCAACGGCUAACUACGUG
rnacentral:rRNA from 1 species